UAAUUUGUUCAGUGUAGGAUA
ensembl:piRNA 21ur-3063 ncRNA